rnacentral:rRNA from 1 species
GUGAGGAAUAUUGGUCAAUGGGCGAGAGCCUGAACCAGCCAAGUCGCGUGAAGGAAGAAGGAUCUAUGGUUCGUAAACUUCUUUUGCAGGGGAAUAAAGUGCGGGACGUGUCCUGUUUUGUAUGUACCCUGAGAAUAAGGAUCGGCUAACUCCGUGCCAGCAGCCGCGGUAAUACGGAGGAUCCGAGCGUUAUCCGGAUUUAUUGGGUUUAAAGGGUGCGUAGGUGGUUUGAUAAGUCAGCGGUGAAAGUUUGCAGCUUAACUGUAAAAAUGCCGUUGAAACUGUCGGACUUGAGUGUAAAUGAGGUAGGCGGAAUGCGUGGUGUAGCGGUGAAAUGCAUAGAUAUCACGCAGAACUCCGAUUGCGAAGGCAGCUUACUAAGCUACAACUGACACUGAAGCACGAAAGCGUGGGGAGCAAACAGGAUUAGAUACCCUGGUAGUCC